GUAACUUAGGAUAACAAAAUAGACCAAAAGCCUUCAAAGCUUUCAGUAGAAGUGGAAAUCUUCUAGUUUCUG
rnacentral:tRNA from 1 species